rnacentral:tRNA from 1 species
UUUUGGUGGCCGAGAUAAGGCCGUAGAUUUUUAAUCUACUUACGGGAAACUCCCUCUUGCGU